GCUCGGAGGGGGCGUCGGGUUCGACUCCUGCUCCGGGGUGGGGCGGAUGGGCGUGUCUGGCUCAGCAAGACAGGGUACGGGGACCCCAAGCUGGCAGGGAAGGCAGCGGCAGAAGUAGUCUUGGCACAUCGGGUGGCAGCUCCCAAGAUGGGUUCUGUGAUCCAACCCAUCACAGAGGGAACGGGGCAUCUCGCAAGGGUGGGAUCAGGGGUCUGAGGUUGAAACCCAGCCCCAGGUUGGCAGGGGCAAUGGGGUUGCAGCAGGGCUGGGGGUCUGCACCUUACACCCUCUGCUCCCUGUGACCACCACAUCCCCCCACUGCCAAGAGCAGCAAACACGCCCCAUCACCGUCCCCAGCUGCCUGGCCAUGUCCACACACAGGGCAUAGGAGCGGGGGGUGAUUCUCCCUCUGGAGAGGGCAUUGGGGCAACCUAGCCUGGGGUGGUGCAUUUUUUAAAGGAUGCGGAGGAAGUGGAGACGGACCACCCAACUGCCAGGACUCCGCAGGGGCUGGAGGAAAGGCUCCCCGGGAGAUGCCCAGAGCUCAGCACCUCCAAGAGAAGACGGGGGAGGUGAUUUGAUGCCACCAGGCACAAGAACCACCCGCAGUGGGAAGCCAAAGCCAGGCUGAUUCGAAAGGGAAAUUAGCCCGAGUGUUAGCAGGGAGGGGACAACCCCUGGACCCAGCUCCUCACAGCAGUGGGGGAUCAUCCAUCGCCUGGUGUCUCCUGGCUUCCUUAGCGACACACGAGCUCAGCGGGAGAAAGCCUCCGUUCUGUGCCAGAGAGCAGGGAAGCGAGCGGAUGGGCCGAGCUGAUACCUGGCUGGAUGUUCCACCUUCGGAUUAACCCCGGGGACGGUUUGCAACCCAGGAGAUUUGUGUUUUGUUUUGGGUCUUUAGUUAGUGGCAGAGAAGAGCCGGCACCCUCCCCAGCUACAGCAUUUCCUUCCUGCCACCAUUAACAAGGCAUCAUGAGGGCUGGAGAGCGAGGCCAGAUGGCAAGGAAAAGACCAUUUUCCCUGGAGCUGCAGUGAAACCUCUGAUCUGAUUCACAACCUCCAGGAUGGUAAAUAUGCUCCUGGCCCCUCCUGGGUGUCGUUUGAAAGCCUGACGAACCAGCUGCCUUUGAAGAAUUCGUCAGCUGGAGCAGGGUCGGCUCAUGACAGCUCUUGGCCCCGCCACAGCUGCGUGAUUCAGCCGAGCUGGUAUUUAGAUUCGACAGCGUGAUUGGCAGCACAGUCAUCUGAGUCAAUGCAGGGCUGUGAACGGUGCCUGCUUCAUUCUGAGCCAGACUCACAGCACAGUGAGAUCCCUGCCCCCCAACCCCGCCGCCAUGGGGGCCUGAGCCUCAGCUAGAGGGACCCUGCCCACCCCAGGAGCUCCAUCAACAUGGCUCAUCGGCUCCUGGGCCUUCCCACUGGGCGAGGGGCCUGUUCGGCCAGCCGGGGCGGCCCACGCAGGCUGCCAGGCGGGAACAGCUUUUCCAGGUGGCUUCCGCACUGGGUGUCCCGGGAGCGAAAUCCUCCCUUGCCACAUGCUCAGUCUCUUCACCUCGGUAUCAUCCUCCCGACCGGUGCUGCGUGUACACGCCCAGCCAUCGAUUCAUUCCCUCCAAGGGCCGGGACGUGUGGCCCCACCUCCCGCUCCGCUGCGCCCCCGUCAGGGGGAUUCCGGGCGCGAGGAGGGGCUCGGUGUGGGCACAUCCUGCCCUCGCGCGGAGCACACACAAUGCUGCAACGGCUGGAGAUCCCCAGGGGAGAUAAAAAUGCCGCUUUUGUUACUCGGCUCCUAUUUCCGGCUCCGCUGCGGCUGAGCGACAGGCCGGAAUUUCUGCAGGUCUGGCUGCAGCAGCGUCUGCACAGUCCUCGGGCAGAGCACCGGGGCUGCUCCAUCUGCUCCCAGCGCGAACCGCUGCUCCAGGCUUUCCCAGGCUCUGUACGAAACGGGGGGGGUAGAACUAGAGGGGGGCAGAGCACACGGCCCAGAGUCCAGCCCCCUCGCCCCAGCCUGGUUUGCGGCAUUGAAGAGACCAUGCAAUCCUGGAGGGCAGCACUGCCUGAGCCCCCCUGCAGUGGGCCAGGAACUGCCAAGCAACUCACUGCUGGGCCUGGAGCAAGUCCCUUCUCCUCUCUCGGCCUUCCUGCCCCAUCUGCAAAGCUAGGCACGAGGGAGGGUAACAGGGUAACGUGAGAUGGAAACAGGGCCGCCCAGAGGAUUCAGGGGGCCUGGGGCAAAGCAA